CCUUGUACACACCGCCCGUCACACCAUGGGAGUGGGUUGCAAAAGAAGUAGGUAGCUUAACCUUCGGGAGGGCGCUUACCACUUUGUGAUUCAUGACUGGGGUG
rnacentral:rRNA from 1 species